CGAACGCUGGCGGCGUGCUUAACACAUGCAAGUCGAACGGUGAAGGGGAGCUUGCUCCCCGGAUCAGUGGCGAACGGGUGAGUAACACGUGGGCAACCUGCCCCAGACUUCGGGAUAACGCUUCGAAAGAGGUGCUAAUACCGGAUACGAACUCCUUGGGCAUCCCGGGAGUUGGAAAGUUUUUCGGUCUGGGAUGGGCCCGCGGCCUAUCAGCUUGUUGGUGAGGUAACGGCUCACCAAGGCGACGACGGGUAGCCGGCCUGAGAGGGCGACCGGCCACACUGGGACUGAGACACGGCCCAGACUCCUACGGGAGGCAGCAGUGGGGAAUAUUGCGCAAUGGGCGAAAGCCUGACGCAGCAACGCCGCGUGAGGGAUGACGGCCUUCGGGUUGUAAACCUCUUUCAGCAGGGAAGAAGCGAAAGUGACGGUACCUGCAGAAGAAGCACCGGCUAACUACGUG
rnacentral:rRNA from 1 species